ACAUACGACCAUAGCCGCCAGCUAAAUCAGGAUCCCGUCCGAUCUCCCACGAUAACCUGGCGAGCGCUGGACUAGUAGUUGGGUCGGUGACGACCAGCGAAUCCCCAGUGUUGUAUGUU
rnacentral:rRNA from 1 species